UACGGGGGGGCAAGCGUUGUUCGGAAUUACUGGGCGUAAAGGGCUCGUAGGUGGCCAGCUAAGUCAGACGUGAAAUCCCUCGGCUUAACCGGGGAACUGCGUCUGAUACUGGAUGGGCUCGAGUGUGGGAGAGGGAGUGCGGAAUUCCAGGUGUAGCGGUGAAAUGCGUAGAUAUCGUAAGGAAGACCAGUGGCGAAGGCGGAUCUCUGGACAGCUACUGACACUGAGGCACGAAGGCCAGGGGAGCAAACGGG
rnacentral:rRNA from 1 species